CUCUGGAGAGCGGCGCGCGCCUGUCGGUGCAGCGCCCACCGAUGGGGCGUGCGGCGGCGACCACCUUGCCACCGCAAAAUCUCUCAGGUACAUGGACAGGG
rnacentral:ncRNA from 2 species